rnacentral:rRNA from 1 species
UAUCUCUGUAGAGUCUGCAUAUCAAUAAGCGGAGGAAAAGAAACUAACAAGGAUUCCCUUAGUAACGGCGAGUGAAGCGGGAAGAGCUCAAAUUUGAAAUCUUCAAGGUUUUACCUUGACGAAUUGUAGUUUAAAGAAGUGUUUUCUGUUGGAGUUUCGGUAAAAGUUCUUUGGAAUAGGACAUCAUGGAGGGUGAGAAUCCCGUAUUUGACCGUUAUUUUCAGCUGUGUGAUACACUUUCAAAGAGUCGGAUUGUUUGGGAAUGCAGUCCAAAAUGGGUGGUAAAUUUCAUCUAAAGCUAAAUAUUGGCGAGAGACCGAUAGCGAACAAGUACCGUGAGGGAAAGAUGAAAAGAACUUUGAAAAGAGAGUUAAACAGUACGUGAAAUUGUCAAAAGGGAAGCGUUUGACACCAGUGUUGUUUUCUCGAAAAUCAAUUAAAAAUGGCUUGAUUUUGUGUUGUAUUGACCUUAAAAGCUUUCUUCACUUUUUUCAUGUCUUUUUUAAUGCACUUUUCGUUUAACAAGUCAACAUCAGUUUCUUUUGUUGUAAAAAGGUCAUUGGAAGGUGGCUUUCUUUUCGGAGAAAGUGUUUAUAGCCUUUGACUCCUGCAAUCGGAGAGACUGAGGUCUGCAGCGUAGAUCCUUCUUGGAUUAGAUUCAUUUGUGCUAAGUUAUAGCUUUUCAUAGACAACUUGUUGACUAUGUUUAGUCUUGUAGCUUACUCGCUUAUGUAAUUUUACCUACGCUUAGGAUGUUGAUCUCUCACAGUCGAGC